UACGUAGGGUCCAAGCGUUAUCCGGAAUCACUGGGCGUAAAGCGUUCGUAGGCGGUUUUUCAAGUUGGGUGUGAAAUCCUGUGGCUCAACCAUAUGGACUGUGCCCAAAACUGAAAGACUAGAGCAUAGUAGAGGCAAGUGGAACUUGCGGUGUAGGGGUGACAUCCGUAGAUAUCGCAAAGAACACCAAUGGCGAAGGCAGCUUGCUGGACCAUAACUGACGCUGAGGCACGAAAGCGUGGGUAGCAAACAGG
rnacentral:rRNA from 1 species